rnacentral:rRNA from 1 species
AGAUGGAGUUGGUGCCUUCCGGGAACGUCUGACACAGGUGCUGCAUGGCUGUCGUCAGCUCGUGUCGUGAGAUGUUGGGUUAAGUCCCGCAACGAGCGCAACCCUUGCCUUUAGUUGCCAGCAGUUCGGCUGGGCACUCUAAAGGGACUGCCGGUGUUAAACCGGAGGAAGGUGGGGAUGACGUCAAGUCCUCAUGGCCUUUAUGACCAGGGCUACACACGUACUACAAUGGCCGAUACAAAGGGCAGCGACACUGCGAGGUGAAGCCAAUCCCGUAAAAUCGGUCUCAGUCCGGAUUGGAGUCUGCAACUCGACUCCAUGAAGUUGGAAUCGCUAGUAAUCGUGGAUCAGCAUGCCACGGUGAAUACGUUCCCGGGCCUU